AAGCGAGACGGAGACGUUAAGCGAAACCCAAAAAAGUAAGUCUCAGUUCGGAUUGAAGGCUGAAAUUCGCCUUCAUGAAGCCGGAAUUGCUAGUAAUGGCAGGUCAGCAUACUGCCGUGAAUACGUUCCCGGGCCUUGUACACACCGCCCGUCACACCAUGAGAGUUGGGAAUACCCGAAGCCUGUGAGCUAACCGUAAGGGGGCAGCAGUCGAAGGUAGAAUCAAUGAUUGGGGUGAAGUCGUAACAAGGUAAC
rnacentral:rRNA from 1 species